rnacentral:rRNA from 1 species
UACGGAGGGGGCAAGCGUUGUUCGGAAUUACUGGGCGUAAAGGGCGCGCAGGCGGCUGCUCAAGUCAGGCGUGAAAGGCCUGGGCUCAACCCGGGAAUUGCGCUUGAGACUGGGCUGGCUUGAGUGCGGGAGAGGAUGGUGGAAUUCCCAGUGUAGAGGUGAAAUUCGUAGAUAUUGGGAAGAACACCCGUGGCUAAGGCGGCUCGCUGGGACGGUACUGACGCUGAGGCGCGAAAGCGUGGGGAGCAAACAGG